CCUACGGGAGGCAGCAGUGAGGAAUAUUGGUCAAUGGGCGCGAGCCUGAACCAGCCAAGUAGCGUGAAGGAUGACUGCCCUACGGGUUGUAAACUUCUUUUAUAAAGGAAUAAAGUGAGGCACGUGUGCCUUUUUGUAUGUACUUUAUGAAUAAGGAUCGGCUAACUCCGUGCCAGCAGCCGCGGUAAUACGGAGGAUCCGAGCGUUAUCCGGAUUUAUUGGGUUGAAAGGGUGCGCAGGCGGCGUGUCAAGUCAGCGGUAAAAUGUCGGGGCUCAACCCCGGCCGGCCGUUGAAACUGGCGUGCUCGCGUUGGAGAGAAGUAUGCGGAAUUCGUGGUGUAGCGGUGAAAUGCAUAGAUAUCACGAAGAACCCCGAUUGCGAAGGCAGCAUACCGGCUCCACACUGACGCUGAGGCACGAAAGCGUGGGUAUCGAACAGGAUUAGAUACCCCAGUAGUC
rnacentral:rRNA from 1 species